GACGUAGGGUGCAAGCGUUGUCCGGAUUUAUUGGGCGUAAAGAGCUCGUAGGCGGCUUGUUGCGUCGACCGUGAAAACCCGCAGCUUAACUGCGGGCUUGCAGUUGAUACGGGCAGGCUAGAGUUCGGUAGGGGAGACUGGAAUUCCUGGUGUAGCGGUGAAAUGCGCAGAUAUCAGGAGGAACACCGGUGGCGAAGGCGGGUCUCUGGGCCGAUACUGACGCUGAGGAGCGAAAGCGUGGGGAGCGAACAGG
rnacentral:rRNA from 1 species